rnacentral:rRNA from 1 species
UGGGGAAUAUUGGACAAUGGGGGAAACCCUGAUCCAGCGAUGCCGCGUGAGUGAUGAAGGCCUUCGGGUUGUAAAACUCUUUCACUGAUGAAGAUGAUGACGGUAGUCAGAGAAGAAGCUCCGGCUAACUUCGUGCCAGCAGCCGCGGUAAUACGAAGGGAGCUAGCGUUGUUCGGAAUUACUGGGCGUAAAGAGUACGUAGGCUGUUAUGUAAGUUAGGUGUGAAAUUCUUGGUCUUAAGCUAAGGACUGCACUUAAUACUGCAUGACUUGAGUAUGGGAGAGGACAGAGGAAUUCCUAGUGUAGAGGUGAAAUUCGUAGAUAUUAGGAGGAACAUCGAUGGCGAAGGCAUCUGUCUGGAACAUAACUGACGCUUAGGUACGAAAGUGUGGGGAGCAAA